rnacentral:rRNA from 1 species
CACGUAGUUAGCCGGGGCUUCUUAGUCAGGUACCGUCAUUUUCUUCCCUGCUGAAAGGGCUUUACAUACCGGGGUACUUCUUCACCCACGCGGCAUUGCUGCAUCACGGGUUCCCCCCAUUGUGCAAUAUUCCCCACUGCUGCCUCCCGCAGGAGUCUGGGCCGUGUCUCAGUCCCAAUGUGGCCGUCCGCUCUCUCAAGCCGGCUACUGAUCGUUGCCUUGGUGGGCCGUUACCCCGCCAACAAGCUAAUCAGACGCGGGGCCAUCCUGUACCACCGGAGUUUUCCCUGCACCGCCAUGCGGCAGUGCAGGGUUAUGCGGUAUUAGCAGCCAUUUCUGGCUGUUGUCCCCCGGUACAGGGCACGGUUCCCCACGCGUUACUCACCCGUCCGCCACUAGGUUUAUACGGCUUCCCGUCCGGAGACGUUCCGCUAUACUAAACCCCGUUGACUUGCAUGUGUUAGGCAUGCCGCCAGUCGUUUAUCCUGAGCCAGGACUCAAACUCU